GGUACCUAAAGAAUAAGCACCGGCUAACUACGUGCCAGCAGCCGCGGUAAUACGUAGGGUGCGAGCGUUAAUCGGAAUUACUGGGCGUAAAGCGAGCGCAGACGGUUAGUUAAGCAAGAUGUGAAAUCCCCGAGCUCAACUUGGGAACUGCGUUUUGAACUGGCUAGCUAGAGUGUGUCAGAGGGGGGUAGAAUUCCACGUGUAGCAGUGAAAUGCGUAGAGAUGUGGAGGAAUACCGAUGGCGAAGGCAGCCCCCUGGGAUAACACUGACGUUCAUGCUCGAAAGCGUGGGUAGCAAACAGGAUUAGAUACCCUGGUAGUCCACGCCCUAAACGAUGUCAAUUAGCUGUUGGGCAACUUGAUUGCUUAGUAGCGUAGCUAACGCGUGAAAUUGACCGCCUGGGGAGUACGGUCGCAAGAUUAAAACUCAAAGGAAUUGACGGGGACCCGCACAAGCGGUGGAUGAUGUGGAUUAAUUCGAUGCAACGCGAAGAACCUUACCUGGUCUUGACAUGUACGGAAGAGAGUAGAGAUACUCUUGUGCCUUCGGGAGCUGUAGCACAGGUGCUGCAUGGCUGUCGUCAGCUCGUGUCGUGAGAUGUUGGGUUAAGUCCCGCAACGAGCGCAACCCUUGUCAUUAGUUGCCAUCAUUAAGUUGGGCACUCUAAUGAGACUGCCGGUGACAAACCGGAGGAAGGUGGGGAUGACGUCAAGUCCUCAUGGCCCUUAUGACCAGGGCUUCACACGUCAUACAAUGGUCGGUACAGAGGGUAGCCAAGCCGCGAGGUGGAGCCAAUCCCAGAAAACCGAUCGUAGUCCGGAUUGCACUCUGCAACUCGAGUGCAUGAAGUCGGAAUCGCUAGUAAUCGCAGGUCAGCAUACUGCGGUGAAUACGUUCCCGGGUCUUGUACACACCGCCCGUCACACCAUGGGAGUGGGGGAUACCAGAAGUAGAUAGGGU
rnacentral:rRNA from 1 species